UACGUAGGGGCCGAGCGUUGUCCGGAGUUAUUGGGCGUAAAGCGCGCGCAGGCGGCCUCGCGCGCCCGACGUGAAAGCCCCCGGCUUAACCGGGGAGGGUCGUUGGGGACGGCGGGGCUUGAGGGCGGGAGAGGUCGGUGGAAUUCCCGGUGUAGUGGUGAAAUGCGUAGAGAUCGGGAGGAACACCUGUGGCGAAGGCGGUUCUCUGGGCCUUACCUGACGCUGAGGAGCGAAAGCGUGGGGAGCGAACAGG
rnacentral:rRNA from 1 species